rnacentral:tRNA from 1 species
GGUAGGUUGGCAGAAUGGCAAUGCACAUGCCUCGAAAGCAUGCGCCCCGCAAGGGGCUUGCAGGUUCGACUCCUGCACCUACCG